rnacentral:rRNA from 1 species
UUGCCAGACUCCUACGGGAGGCAGCAGUGGGGAAUAUUGCACAAUGGGGGAAACCCUGAUGCAGCGACGCCGCGUGAGUGAAGAAGUAUUUCGGUAUGUAAAGCUCUAUCAGCAGGAAAGAAAAUGACGGUACCUGACUAAGAAGCCCCGGCUAACUACGUGCCAGCAGCCGCGGUAAUACGUAGGGGGCAAGCGUUAUCCGGAUUUACUGGGUGUAAAGGGAGCGUAGACGGAAAGGCAAGUCAGAAGUGAAAGCCCAAGGCUCAACCAUGGGACUGCUUUUGAAACUGUCAAACUAGAGUACGGGAGAGGUAAGAGGAAUUCCUAGUGUAGCGGUGAAAUGCGUAGAUAUUAGGAGGAACACCAGUGGCGAAGGCGGUCUGCUGGACAGCAACUGACGCUGAGGCGCGAAAGCGUGGGGAGCAAACAGGAUUAGAUACCCCCGUA